AGGAUGAACGCUAGCUAUAGGCUUACACAUGCAAGUCGAGGGGAAACNGGCAUUAUGUGCUUGCACAUUUUGGACGUCGACCGGCGCACGGGUGAGUAUCGCGUAUCCAACCUUCCCUCCACUCGGGGAUACCCCGUUGAAAGACGGCCUAAUACCCGAUGUUGUCCACAUAUGGCAUCUGACGUGGACCAAAGAUUCAUCGGUGGAGGAUGGGGGUGCGUCUGAUUAGCUUGUUGGUGCGGGUAACGGCCCACCAAGGCGACGAUCAGUAGGGGUUCUGAGAGGAAGGUCCCCCACAUUGGAACUGAGACACUGUCCAAACUCCUACGGGAGGCAGCAGUGAGGAAUAUUGGUCAAUGGACGGAAGUCUGAACCAGCCAAGUAGCGUGCAGGAUUGACGGCCCUAUGGGUUGUAAACUGCUUUUGUUGGGGAGUACAGUGAGGCACGCGUGCCUUUGGGCAUAUACCCUUCGAAUAAGGACCGGCUAAUUCC
rnacentral:rRNA from 1 species